UACAGAGGGUGCGAGCGUUAUUCGGAAUUACUGGGCGUAAAGCGUGCGUAGGCGGUUAUUUAAGUCGGGUGUGAAAGCCCCGGGCUCAACCUGGGAAUUGCAUUCGAGACUGAAUAGCUAGGGUACGGUAGAGGGAAGCGGAAUUUCCGGUGUAGCGGUGAAAUGCGUAGAUAUCGGAAGGAACAUCAGUGGCGAAAGCGGCUUCCCGGACCAGAACCGACGUUCAGGCACGAAAGCGUGGGGAGCAAACAGG
rnacentral:rRNA from 1 species